rnacentral:tRNA from 1 species
UAUUGUUAUUUUGGCAGAUUAGUGUAUUAAAUUUAGAAUUUAAAAAUGUAUAUAAAUACAAAUAAUAC